AGAGUUUGAUCCUGGCUCAGAACGAACGCUGGCGGCAGGCUUAACACAUGCAAGUCGAACGCACCGCAAGGUGAGUGGCAGACGGGUGAGUAACGCGUGGGAACGUGCCCUUCAGUUCGGGAUAACCCAGGGAAACUUGGGCUAAUACCGGAUACGUGCGAGAGCAGAAAGAUUGAUCGCUGAAGGAUCGGCCCGCGUCUGAUUAGCUAGUUGGUAGGGUAAUGGCCUACCAAGGCGACGAUCAGUAGCUGGUCUGAGAGGAUGAUCAGCCACAUUGGGACUGAGACACGGCCCAAACUCCUACGGGAGGCAGCAGUGGGGAAUAUUGGACAAUGGGCGCAAGCCUGAUCCAGCCAUGCCGCGUGAGUGAUGAAGGCCUUAGGGUUGUAAAGCUCUUUCGGCGGGGACGAUAAUGACGGUACCCGCAGAAGAAGCCCCGGCUAACUUCGUGCCAGCAGCCGCGGUAAUACGAAGGGGGCUAGCGUUGUUCGGAAUCACUGGGCGUAAAGGGCGCGUAGGCGGCCUGAUAAGUCGGGGGUGAAAGCCUGUGGCUCAACCACAGAAUUGCCUUCGAUACUGUCGGGCUUGAGACCGGAAGAGGUAAGUGGAACUGCGAGUGUAGAGGUGAAAUUCGUAGAUAUUCGCAAGAACACCAGUGGCGAAGGCGGCUUACUGGUCCGGUUCUGNNGCUGANNNNNGAAAGCGUGGGGAGCAAACAGGAUUAGAUACCCUUGUAGUCC
rnacentral:rRNA from 1 species